UAAGGAAUAUUGGUCAAUGGACGCAAGUCUGAACCAGCCAUGCCGCGUGGAGGAUGAAGGUCCUCUGGAUUGUAAACUUCUUUUAUCUGGGACGAAACACUUCUUUUCUAAGAGGCCUGACGGUACCAGAUGAAUAAGCACCGGCUAACUCCGUGCCAGCAGCCGCGGUAAUACGGAGGGUGCAAGCGUUAUCCGGAUUCACUGGGUUUAAAGGGUGCGUAGGUGGGUAUGUAAGUCAGUGGUGAAAUCCCCGAGCUUAACUUGGGAACUGCCAUUGAUACUAUAUAUCUUGAAUACCGUAGAGGUAAGCGGAAUAUGUCAUGUAGCGGUGAAAUGCUUAGAUAUGAAAUGGGACACCAAUUGCGAAGGCAGCUUACUAUGCGGUGAUUGACACUGAGGCACGAAAGCGUGGGUAGCAAACA
rnacentral:rRNA from 1 species